AUUGAACGCUGGCGGAAUGCUUUACACAUGCAAGUCGAGCGGCAGCGCGGGGCAACCUGGCGGCGAGCGGCGAACGGGUGAGUAAUGUAUCGGAACGUGUCCUGUCGUGGGGGAUAGCCCGGUGAAAACCGGAUUAAUACCGCAUACGAUCGAGAGAUGAAAGUGGGGGACCGCAAGGCCUCACGCGAUAGGAGCGGCCGAUAUCUGAUUAGCUAGUUGGUGGGGUAAAGGCCCACCAAGGCUUCGAUCAGUAGCUGGUCUGAGAGGAUGAUCAGCCAGCCGGGGACUGAGACGCGGCCCGGCCUCCUACGGGAGGCAGCAGUGGGGAAUUUUGGACGAGGGGGGCAACCCUGGUCCAGCCAUUCCGCGUGGGAGAAGAAGGCCUUCGGGUUGUAAAGCUCUUUUGUCCGAGAAGAAACGGUUUUGGCUAAUAACCAAGACUACUGACGGUACCGGAAGAAUAAGGACCGGCUAACUACGUGCCAGCAGCCGCCGUAA
rnacentral:rRNA from 1 species